rnacentral:rRNA from 1 species
CAAUAGCGUAUAUUUAAGUUGUUGCAGUUAAAAAGCUCGUAGUUGAACCUUGGGCUUGGCUGGCCGGUCCAUCUUUUUUGAUGCGUACUGGACCCAGCCGAGCCUUUCCUUCUGGCUAGCCUUUUGGCGAACCAGGACUUUUACUUUGAAAAAAUUAGAGUGUUCAAAGCAGGCCUUUGCUCGAAUAUAUUAGCAUGGAAUAAUAGAAUAGGACGUUAUGGUUCUAUUUUGUUGGUUUCUAGGACCAUCGUAAUGAUUAAUAGGGACGGUCGGGGGUAUCAGUAUUCAGUUGUCAGAGGUGAAAUUCUUGGAUUUACUGAAGACUAACUACUGCGAAAGCAUUUACCAAGGACGUUUUCAUUAA